rnacentral:rRNA from 1 species
GACGAACCGUGCAAACGUUAUUCGGAAUCACUGGGCAUAAAGGGCGCGUAGGCGGCCCGGUAAGUAGGGGGUGAAAUCCUGCGGCUUAACCGCAGGGCUGCCUUCUAAACUGUCGGGCUCGAGCACGGUAGAGGCAGAUGGAAUUCCCGGUGUAGCGGUGGAAUGCGUAGAGAUCGGGAAGAACAUCAGUGGCGAAGGCGGUCUGCUGGGCCGUUGCUGACGCUGAGGCGCGACAGCGUGGGGAGCAAACAGG